CGCCUGUAGUCCUACCUACUCAGGAAGCUGAGAUCAGAGGGGUGAGGUUCGGAGUCAGCCCAAGCAGGAAAGUGUGUGAGGCUCUUCUUGCUACUUAACCACCGAAGAGCCAGCAGUGGUAGUAUGGCUCACACCUGUAAUCCUAGCUACUCAGGAGGCUGAGAUCUGAG